rnacentral:rRNA from 1 species
AUUGAACGCUGGCGGCAGGCCUAACACAUGCAAGUCGAACGAGUGGCGGACGGGUGAGUAAUGUCUGGGACACUGCCUGAUGGAUGGGGCUAACUAAUGGCCACGGUAGCUACUACCGCCUACCAUCAGCUGUGCCCAGAUGGGAGUAGCUUGUUGGUGGGGUCACGGCUCACCACGGCGACGAUCCCUAGCUGGUCUGAGAGGAUGCACAGCCACACUGGAAAUGAGACACGGUCCAGACUCCUACGGGAGGCAGCAGUGGGGAAUAUUGCACAAUGGGCGCAAGCCUGAUGCAGCCAUGCCGCGUGUAUGAAGAAGGCCUUCGGGUUGUAAAGUACGUUCAGCUGGGAGGCGUUACCAGCAGAAGAAGCACCGGCUAACUCCGUGCCAGCCGCCGCGGUAAUUC